UAUAAUCUGCAGAAAUUGAGAAAAGCAUACACAUGCUUUAGAAUUUCCUACGUUUGGAAAUAUUUUCAGUUCCUGGUUUUAACCAAGACUAAAUGCAGACUAAACGCAAUUUGUCCUUUGAAGCACUCAGGCUCCGGGCCGCCGAAAUAUUUUCUUAGAGAAACUGAUGACAAUCUGCCGCAGUGACACCGAAAAAGCGCCCAGCUUACCGCUUUUCCAGGGAUAUUUAAAUUUCUGGACUAAGGCCCAACUUGGUACAAGGGCGUUAGGCAUAAAAUCCUCAGAUGUAAAUGGAUGAAGUCAAAGACAAAGAGAAGAACUGGUAGCAAGCAGCAAACAUCAGAAGCAGCGUUGACAUGGAGAGAGGUGGUGGUCUGAUGGAGGCAAGUGAGGCUGCAGUAUGCUCCUUUCUGUGGCAGCAGUGCAGUCUCCAUUUUCCAGCCGAUGUUGUGACAGACAUGUGGCAACGCUGGCAAGAGAAGCAUGUGAAAGCUAGUGCGGGGAGCUGGCACUGAGCUGGGUCCAGCAGUAGAGCAGAGAAACAUAAAUCUCUGCUAACUGAGGUGGUAAUUCUGCAUCCUCCAUUGGCUUCGUCGUUCUGAAGAUACUCAUUGGAAUAAGCUAACAGGAGCAGAGGUUUCUUUUUCAAAAAUACCUGAAAAUAAGAACAACAAAAAAAAUCUGUAAGUUCUUUGUAGAAGGACUGAAUGCUUUUUUCUCAAAGCCCUGCUUUUGUAAGGUUAAAACUGAAAACCCUUAAUAGAAGUACGCUAGUGAAACUAUACAGCUCCUUAUAGCUCGAUCCAAGUUCACUGAAACCGUUGACAAUUUCUUUCAUAUUAACUUAAGUGGACUUUGGACAGGACUUGGUAAUAACAAAAUGUCUGGCACUCUCAGGAAAACAGGUGGAUGAAUAGAUAACUAAGUAAAAAAAAAUGAACUUAUGCAUAUUUAUCGUGGACAGCUGCAAGCAAAAUCCCACUGUUUUAACCCCAUACCGCCUUGGUUACGUGCUGGCAUUCUUCGGCACUGAGCACCUGUUAUUUAUCGGUCGUAGCCCACCAGCGCUGCCGUAUGAGGAAGAACUGGCUGUGAUUGAUACAGACACCACCUCCGGCGCACGGCUCUGCGCGAGCAUCUCCCAGGGAAGGCAGCGGCAGUCAAGGCGAGAAAGGACUACGGGCUGACUGCUGAGCGUCGCCCUUCAAUUGUGGUACUUAUUUGGAAUAAAUAUGUGUGCCUCUUCGUCAUCUCUUAGAAAAGAAGGACAAAUUUGCAUAGGAAUAAUAAGAAAAGCAAAGUUACCAAAUAUGGCACCACACCCCCUACCUGUGAACAUGAUUUUUAAACUUUGCUUGGGCCAGUUAAAAAUAUCAGGUGUUCACCUGUACUGGAAAAACAUCAUGAUUUAGUGUAUGCCAUAGAGCUGAAUGUGUAGCAAAUUCAACUUUUCUGGUUAUAUUAUUAAGAGAGAAAUGACUGUAUUCUGUAAGUGAGGUUCUCAGUCGCUUUCAGUGCAUACGUAAAUAGCUCUGUAAGCGACAGAUUCCUGCACAGUCCUCAAACUUCCCAACCUCUAUUUCCAACUACAGUUCUAACUGUAGCUGGUGGCAUACAUAGUAUAAAUUAAAAUGAUAUCAUGGGGACCUUAAGGUUUCUCAUUCAUCUUUCCUCCCUUUUAAGGGGUCAUUACUGAAGUCACAACUAAAUAGUAGGUAUAAAUUUCCAGUGCCUGUUUGUUUGUUUUUAAUAUCCCCAGUAAUUCUUGCAGUCUUUUUUGUGGCAUUAUGCUGGAAGGAAAAGUGCUCCUCUCUCUGUGUUGGCCGUCAACUCAUCAGUUACCUAUUUUUUCCUGUCUUCUUUCAAAACAGUGGUUCACUCCUCAUCAAGCAGUACCAGUCAGAAUCUGUCCAAGAUGUAUUUUUAAACUCCAUAUAGUUUGGUUUUAACAGGACAAUUUUUUUUUUCCCAUUGGAAACCAUGCUGAAUUAGAGCAAGGAGCUGCAUGGAGCUUUGCAGAAAGCUAUUGCUGGACUGUGGGUUGUAUUACGGAGUUUUGAAACAGCACUGCUACCUAGAAAAACUCUGUCCCAUUUCAUAUUCUAGAGCGCCUUGUCCCUACUAGUUCACGUUAUCUAGCCGUUUGCCUUCACAGCCCCAAAAUGGUUUCUACAAUAAGACAACUAAGGGCACCAGCUGGUUUUACUGUCUGUUUUUUAAGACAGGAACAGACCAGCAAAAUGCCUACUAAUGGCUAACUUUACCUCCUUUACCCUUUCAGUGUAUCUUCAAUGCUUUGCUUGCUCCACAAAGGUUAUGCCAGGGAGAUCAAGCACACAGCAGAAAUAUGCCUUUCUAACACUAGAGAUGAAGCAUUGGACUCUUUUUAUUGCAUGUUAUUUAUCUCAUUUGGAAAAUGAAAUGGAGAUACAGCAAUGAACAUUUACUGGUGGACAGCAAAGACGAGGUCAGCCACAGACCAUUCAGUUCUGCUGAGGGCAGAAGAUGCCUGUUUCUGUAGCACCUCCGGACCUUUUCUCCGCAGAGGAAGCAGUGAGAUGGCGUGGCCCUGGGGACCUUGUGAGGGCACAGGCAGCAGCGCAGCCCGGUGGAGCCUCCCAUCGGUACGGCUACACGUUGGUGCGCAGUGGGACACAGCGGUGCUUCUGCCUCCACCCAAUAACCCACAUAGCUAAGGGCCUAUCCUACCCUAUGCGUGCCCAUGUGCAAUUUAUCCUUGGGUACAGCAGACACCUCUCCAGCCUUGAGCUUUGGGUUCACUGACUAUAUUUUGCUCAUGGGCAAAAGCUGAGGGGUGAAGGGGUGGUUAGGUGUUUUUUUUUCCCGACCUCUGCCAGGGCCACAGAUGAGAUGAAAGGGAAGCUGAGAUCCAGAGUAAUUGCACGACCCGCAGAGCUGGACCUCAGGGCACCGAGCCUGGAGUGUCUGUUCUUCAAUCCAGCCAUUUCACAGAGAUUUUAGCUCUCUCACAAGAGACAUACAAACAGAGGAAAUGGUCCUUAUUCUUUCUCUCCACAACACACUCUCCACUUAAGAGCAGCCAGACUUUGGCCUUCUGUUUCUCAUUAUGACUAAACAUUUAAAAUGUGGUUUGUAUUUUCCAGAAAGGGCAUGUUAUACACUUAAUUUAUAAAAGCCAGGAAGAAAGAGAGAGUCUUCUAGAUUCCUUCUGGUUCAGUGCUUUAUAUAAAUGUGAGAACUGAGGUGGUAUUAUUCCACGUCCUCCAGUGAUCAUUAGCUGGGUGUCUGUGUAUAUGCUGUUUGACAUAGUGAAUGAUUACAAAAAAUAUUUGUGGUACUGUUUUAUUUGCAAUAUGGUUAUGUGUAGGAGUCUUAUUAACAUUUCUUGAUAAGAAGACUAUAUACCUAGAGGGAAAAAGCUGCAAUAUGUGGAUGCUAUUUCAGUUCCUCAGCCCAGAUAUUUUUAGCACCUUCAUUUUUGGAAUAACUUCUCUCUUAGCUGUAUGAAACUUGGAGAUACACAAUACGUGCAAAGAAUGCAGGAAAAGACUUGUUUUACUUCAGCUAUGUAUAUGUACUGGGCUGCAUAGUACAGAGUGUGUAUUGGGAACUGGCUUAGAGUAGAGACUUGGCAGUACGUGGGUGUUCAUGGGACAAAUAAAUGAACAGUUUGUGCUGUUA